UACGUAGGGGGCGAGCGUUGUCCGGAAUUAUUGGGCGUAAAGAGCGUGUAGGCGGUUCGGUAAGUCUGUCGUGAAAACCUGAGGCUCAACCUCGGGCGUGCGAUGGAUACUGCCGGGCUAGAGGAUGGUAGAGGCGAGUGGAAUUCCUGGUGUAGCGGUGGAAUGCGCAGAUAUCAGGAGGAACACCAAUAGCGAAGGCAGCUCGCUGGGACGGUACUGACACUAAGGCGCGAAAGCGUGGGGAGCGAACAGG
rnacentral:rRNA from 1 species